GAUGAACGCUGGCGGCGUGCCUAAUACAUGCAAGUCGAGCGAACAGACGAGGAUCUUUCUCCUCUUACGUUAGCGGCGGACGGGUGAGUAACACGUGGAUAACCUACCUAUAAGACUGGCAUCACUUCGUGAAACCGGAUCUAAUACCGGAUAAUAUAUUGAACCGCAUGGUUCAAUAGUGAAAAACGUUUUUGCUGUCACUUAUAGAUGGUUCCUCGCCGCAUUAGCUAGUUGGUAAGGUAACGGCUUACCAAGGCGACGAUGCGUAGCCGACCUGAGAGGGUGAUCAGCCACACUGGAACUGAGACACGGUCCAGACUCCUACGGGAGGCAGCAGUAGGGAAUCUUCCGCAAUGGGCGAAAGCCUGACGGAGCAACGCCGCGUGAGUGAUGAAGGUCUUCGGAUCGUAAAACUCUGUUAUUAGGGAAGAACAAAUGUGUAAGAAACUAUGCACGUCUUGACGGUACCUAAACAGAAAGCAACGGCUAACUACGUG
rnacentral:rRNA from 1 species